rnacentral:rRNA from 1 species
AGAACGAACGCUGGCGGCAGGCCUCAAACAUGCAAGUCUAGGGGGUGUAGCAAUACAUCACCGGCGGACGGGUGCGUAACGCGUGGGAAUAUACCUAUUGGUUCGGAACAACUGAGGGAAACUUCAGCUAAUACCGGAUACGUCCUAACGGAGAAAGAUUUAUCGCCAAUAGAUUAGCCCGCGUUCGAUUAGCUAGUUGGUGGGGUAACGGCCCACCAAGGCGACGAUCGAUAGCUGUUCUGAGAGGAAGAUCAGCCACACUGGGACUGAGACACGGCCCAGACUCCUACGGGAGGCAGCAGUUGGGAAUCUUGGACAAUGGGGGAAACCCUGAUCCAGCCAUGCCGCGUGAGUGAUGAAGGCCUUCGGGUUGUAAAACUCUUUCGCGCACGACGAUAAUGACGGUAGUGCGAGAAGAAGCUCCGGCUAACUUCGCGCCAGCAGCCGC